GCCUGCGCCACCGUUGGAGCUCUCUUUCUCUGCUUUCAUCGAACAGUUUACUGACUGGUGAAGUUACCUAUACAUUAAAAACAUGUUUAUGAUGCUUUACACUCGGAGAUCCGCGCGGAACGUGUUCAGACCACCCUAAUAAAUGCAUGAUGAUCUGGUUGCUGCUGUAUAGCAAGGAGAUUAAUAAACACGUGUAAUUCUGUGUCUGAACACUGAAGAAGUGUUGAUCAGGUAAAGCUAUGCCCCAUUUCAUUACAUUUACAGUUAUAAAAUCUUCAGUUUUAUUUUCCUGAGAUGAAAAUGCUACAUAGGAAGUGCCGUCUGAUGCGAUAACUGACGAUGGCAAAGCAAAAUUAUUCUGAGGAACCCCGUAAGACUGGGAAUUGUCACCUGAACCCUUCACAAACUCAACUGACUGAAGCUCUUUUACAGAGACCGGAAACAUCUCGCCCGGGUCACCUGGAAACAAACGAGUAAAUGUGGAAACCGCUCCACAGUGACCAGGAUGAAAGCUGGGAGAGGGAUGUUAGUGCACACAACUGAAACACAUGGGAACAUUUAUUUUUUAAUUUUUUUUUAUUUCACAUAUUAAAAAAGUAUGAAAUGUU